rnacentral:snoRNA from 1 species
AUGCAUCCAUUUGACAGACCUGGAGCAGUUCCUGUCUGCUGCUGAGGUUUCCACUAGAGAUGCAAGAAAAAAGUGUCCUUGCACUUUCUGUCUCAUUGUGGCAGUCAAGAUUGAAUGGGGGAGUACAGGG